rnacentral:rRNA from 1 species
UUCCAGCUCCAAUAGCGUAUAUUAAAGUUGUUGCGGUUAAAAAGCUCGUAGUCGAAUCUGUGUCCCGCGUCGCCGGUUCAUCGUCCGCGGUGUUAACUGGCGUACCGCGGGACGUCCUGCCGGUGGGCUUAGCUCGCAAGGGCGGCCCAACUCAAUCCCGCCGCGGUGCUCUUCACUGAGUGUCGAGGUGGGCCGGCACGUUUACUUUGAACAAAUUAGAGUGCUUAAAGCAGGCUAAAAUUUCGCCUGAAUACUGUGUGCAUGGAAUAAUGGAAUAGGACCUCGGUUCUAUUUUGUUGGUUUUCGGAACCCCGAGGUAAUGAUUAAUAGGAACGGAUGG